AGAAUCAACGCUGGCGGCGUGCCUAACACAUGCAAGUCGAACGCGAAGACCCCGCAAGGGGUUUGUAGCGUGGCAAACGGGUGAGUAACACGUGGGUGACCUGCCUUCGAGCGGGGGAUAACGUCCCGAAAGGGACGCUAAUACCGCAUAACAUCCUGCCUUUUAAGAGGUGGAGAUCAAAGCCGGGGAUCGCAAGACCUGGCACUUGAAGAGGGGCCCGCGCCUGAUUAGCUAGUUGGUGAGGUAAUGGCUCACCAAGGCGACGAUCAGUA
rnacentral:rRNA from 1 species